rnacentral:rRNA from 1 species
UACCAGCUCUCCGAGUGGUAGGGAUGAUUAUUGGGCUUAAAGCGUCCGUAGCCGGCUUAGCAAGUCUCCUGUUAAAUUCAGCGACCUAAUCGUUGAGCCGCGGGAGAUACUACUAGGCUAGGAGGCGGGAGAGGUCAACGGUACUUCCGGGGUAGGGGUGAAAUCCUAUAAUCCCGGGAGGACCACCAGUGGCGAAGGCUGUUGACUAGAACGCGCUCGACGGUGAGGGACGAAAGCUGGGGGAGCGAACCGGAUUAGAUACCUGGGUAGUCCCAGCUGUAAACGAUGCGAGCUAGGUGUUGGGGUGGCUACGUGCCACUUCAGUGCCGCAGGGAAGCCAUUAAGCUCGCCGCCUGGGGAGUACGGCCGCAAGGCUGAAACUUAAAGGAAUUGGCGGGGGAGCACCACAAGGCGUGAAGCUUGCGGUUC